CAGCCGCCGCGGUAAUACGUAGGGUGCGAGCGUUAAUCGGAAUUACUGGGCGUAAAGCGUGCGCAGGCGGUUCGUUAAGACAGAUGUGAAAUCCCCGGGCUUAACCUGGGAACUGCAUUUGUGACUGCAAGGCUAGAGUACGGCAGAGGGGGAUGGAAUUCCGCGUGUAGCAGUGAAAUGCGUAGAUAUGCGGAGGAACACCGAUGGCGAAGGCAAUCCCCUGGGCCUGUACUGACGCUCAUGCACGAAAGCGUGGGGAGCAAACAGGAUUAGAUACCCGAGUAGUCCCUGUCUCUUAUAC
rnacentral:rRNA from 1 species